rnacentral:tRNA from 1 species
AAAAUAAAGCGAUAUAAAAAUUGCAAUCAGUUUCGACCUGAUCUUAGAUGUAUUCUAUUUUU